GUUGGAGGAACAAAGGAAGGAGGUCAUGUUACCAGUUUCUAAGGCUUGGGGUCAUCUGGAAGAAGCUGGAAUCACAGUACAGGUGGAAUGGAAGUGCAAUGGAAGAAGUGGAACCACAGUGAAGCAUGUUCCAGAAGGCCAGGGCGGUCGGUUCUGCUGCACAAAUGAGGUCAGAGCAAUCAAGAGAGCCAAGGAAGUCCUACUUAUCUGGAUUAAAUAACUCAAUCUACAAACUACUCAACUUUAAUAUAAGGUGGAAAAUAGGAUUUCAAAAGAAAAGAAGAAGGAGAAGAACAAGGACAAGAAACUGAGUUUUGGCAGAAGGACUCCAUAGGAUCGGGAUCUGUGUCCUGCAGGAGAAACAAGAAGCUCUUAAAUGGCUGCAGAUGGUUUUCUCAGCCUAAGUUCCCAGUCUACUGGGAACUUAGUGGGUAGAGGGUGCCUGGCCAUAGAGAGGCAGAGUCGUCAAAUGUAUGCAGCCCUGGCCCAAUCAUGCCAUCACAUCACGCUACCACCAAGAAGCUGGACUGGCUAAGCAGUACACAAUCACCUGGUCAGCUGCAUUCCAGUGAAACCUUGCUCAAAGCAGAAAAAUCCUGUAUUGCAGUAAAGCGUUGCUUAAGGCAGAAAAACC
rnacentral:lncRNA from 1 species